GGUCAAAGAUUCCCAAGUCAAACUAAUAGACCUGAUAACCGGAAACUACCACUUAUAUACCUGAUUCAGGGUGAAAUAUCUCGCUUAAUAUAAGCUAAAUUUGUCCCUUUCGGAUCGCCAUAUGUAGCAUGGGACCCUUGUAUAACAAGGAAUGAUUGAUGCUCCUCGUGCGAUGGUGUGGUCAAAGAGAAUUUAUUCAAACUCGCGCGCUCUUUUAUCCUUACAUACCAUGUGACUUUCUUAGCCAACCAGCUUACUAACUCUGGGGCAUGCUCCUUGGGCUCUGUACCUGGGCACAUCCUCUGUGCCACCUUUGACCCGCCCCCUACAGUGGAUAGUGUGUCUUCAGGCCUCCUGGCUGGAGGCCAGAGCAGACCAGUUAUGUUGAUCAGUGUGCCAGAGCUGAAGUGUUGUUUUAAAGAGUCCUUAUAUAUUCUCUUAAAAACCCCUCCCAUGCAACAGCUGGUGGCAAUAUUCAUUGUAAAGCAUGAUCUUGGGGAGGCAGCUGGUCCUUCAUCCUUGGGACAUGCCCUGCCCAUUGCAGCUGUGUUCUCAGCAAAAUAGCCUCACUACUUGUGACUGCUGCUUGUUUCCUACCAGAUGUAUUGCUUGCAUAAUUUGACUAGUGGAUGUUUAGGAUUGUACGAAGACAACACAAGUUAAGUGCCUUGUUAAUCGGUUGUUCUAAUGGCACAUUUGCAAGACCUUUUGUUCGUGUUACUGUAGUUUUCAUACCUUAUCCACCACUGAUAAUUUCUAAAAGAGACACAAAUAGCCCACCUUAUACUUUUUGUGAGUUAUGUUCCCCAAGCAGAGUUUCGUGAGUGUCGAAAUGAGAAAUUUGGUUCUACUGAUGCACCACAAGUUUUUUGAUCACUGCUGAUUUCUGCCCAGCAUCCACACCUAACCUGUACUCUUUGUGAUAAUCAAAGCUUGCUGUUAAUUGUCCAAACAAACAAACUUCUGUAGUCAUGCCAGGGGUUUGGGUUGUGAGACCAGGAGGUACUGCUCAGAGUUUUCUGUGUGACUUAAGCAAUGGCUCCUACCUAGAGAACAGCUGUUGGCCCUGCAACAGCUUGUUAAAGAGCAGCUUGAUUACAUUGAACCAUCUCAGAAUCCUUUAAUUACCCCGUCUUUGUGCUGAAGAAAAAAUCUGUGAAAUGACGACUGUUGUAUGGUCUCAGACGAGUUGGUGCAGUCAUGGUUACCAUGUAAGCAUUGGUUUAUUGACCCCUUCUGUGCUGAAUAACCCAUUGUUAUUAUUAAUUUGACAAGUUGUUUUUUUCACAAUCCAGUUAGACCCCAGUAAUAGAGAAAAAUUUGCAUUUUCAGUUCCAUCUAUUAUUCGUGCAGAACCUUUCGAGCGUUAUCCACAGAAAACCCUCUCCCAUGGAAUGAAGAGCUUUUCUAUAAUUUGUCAGUCAUUUAUGAUUCCAACAUUAUUUUCUGUACUAAUGCAAUUUUCUGACUGUCUUUUGUUGUCAUUAUAUAAAUGAUAUUUCUGCUGGCUGUAGCCACUGAGGAUCAGCUGGGUGUGUUGGACACUGAAACCAGAAAGAGUCUACAAUUCUUUGGCCUAGUAGUUGCUCCUGACAUGGUGCAGUGAGAGGUACCCUGGAAAUAUUUAGGGUUCACGUACACAAAAAGCAGUCAUUCCUCAACCAGUUCAAUUGGGUCUUAUUUUUCAAGCGUUGUUUGUACUCUAAAGAACUCCUUUGCAGAGGCUUGUUCCAGCAGGUUUGCUAUGCUUCGAUCCAGCGCAGCUUCAUGGUUUUUCACCUCUUUUAGAGUUUUGGAAAAAACACGCUGUGCUUUGCCAAAAGCCUCCUCCAAACUGAUGAUCUUGUGGUCCCCGUGGGAGCUGAGGACAGAGCACAUGUAAGGGGGGUACUUUUGGAUUAGAUGAUCAAUGGAGCAUAGAGGCGUGAGAAAGGAAUCAUAUUAGGAUGUGAAACCAGCCAGAGUAUGGUACAAUGUAACUUCAUGGCACAAGCGAAUUGUAAGGUCCAUUGUGCUUUUCAGCAAGUCAGCUUGAUAUCCCCUAUUAUCAGAGCUGAGUUCUUCCUUGGUUUUGCUACAUAUUGCAAGAUAGAUACAUCUACCCUUGAAACACAAUGGUAGAGGUCAUACAUAGGGGUGAGAAAGAUGAUGAUGGGAGGAAGAUUCUGUGGGCAGGGGUCGCUGGCCCCUUGCCCUACAGCAGGGCAUGCGCAGACUGUUGCCAUGAGGUAAUGAUCAGGUGGUGUUUGGCUGCCACUCAGGCAUCACCUUAUACUGGGUACUGGCCCUACGUGGUGCAAUGUAGAGCUGAUAAAAUGGGGUGUCAGGACUGCUGGGGUGAGCGAUCCUCAUCCUGCCAUGGAGACUGUGUUGUUCUACCUGGACGCCCGCUAAGCACGGGCACCGACCAGCUGCUGCAGAUCCUGGCAGCCCUGGCCUGUCUGUGUGGGUAAGCACAGUUUAUUGACAGGAAGCAACUGAGAGAACAAACUUUUUAAUAUCCUUUUAGUGUUCCUUUAAUUCCCCUUUUAUGUUUAUGGUAUUUUUCCUUUAGUUUCCCUCUUUACUAACCAAUAUCGUGUUAUCCAUAAUAUUGUGUUAAGAUCCUUUUUUGGUAUCCCUUUUCACUAGUUAAUACUGUAUUAAAUGCUGUUCGUAGUAUUUGUUUUAAUGCCACCCGAUAAGGUAGUUAUUUUGUAUCCUUUUUAGUUUUUAAUUCCUCUUGCUAAGUUUAUUACUAUUAUUAUUAUUCUCACUGUAAUAAAAGAUAUUUUGUGCGUUUGAAUAUUU